AAGCUAGAAUGGCCACUGCAUCCCUCAGGUGGGGGCCAUUCCUACAGCAGUGGGAGAACAGAGAACCACAAAUCACAUUUACAGCAAAGCAGGUGGCCGAUUUUCACAUGUAGCCUAAAUGAAGUUCCACCACACUCUGGGCUGAGUGGGAAGGCUGCCCUUCCUACAUGUAUGUUAGGCUAGCUUCUCUAGAAGAUAGAGGCUGGGGCAAAAAUUAAAAAUGAGAUGUUUCAUUUGGAAGAUGCAAAUCCAUGGCAGCAAAGGUGAGACACAAGGAAGUGAGGCAAAGAAGGAUGCAAAGCCACAGUAAGUGGUGUGUUUCCUUGGUGGCUAUUAUGUCACAAACAGCCAUGGAGACACCCAGAAGUUCACUACACAAGAGCUCUCAGCAUGACAUGUGGAACUCGGCUGGAUGAGCUGCAAGGCAGACUAUCAUGAAGCAGUCCAUGGAGAGAGGAAGAAGGAAUGUAUGUGUCCUGCUCCCUCAACUCCUAUUUUCCACGGGUCAAAGUUUUCCUAGUGGGAGUUAACUCUUCUGCACUUCAGGAUUGUAUCACCCAGUCCUGAUGACAGCCUUUCAGGAGACCCAUUCCCACCCCAUGCUGGAGAGUGUUUUCAUCCAAGUCUGGAAGAGGUGCAAACAGACGGUUAGAUGAGAUUGGAAAACUAGAAGCUGUUAUGGAAGUUGGAGAAAUACCAGAAGAACCUUUUAAAUGGAAAACAGGGACCAAGAGAGAUUAUAUAGAGGAGAACGUGAGAGGAAGAAACACAGGAGUGGUUGUGGAUCUGUGAGAGGAUGAGGGAAACUGUCUUAGGAGAUCCAGUGAUAAAUCCAUAGCUCUCUGUUCUAA